UACGGAGGGUGCGAGCGUUAAUCGGAAUUACUGGGCGUAAAGCGUGCGCAGGCGGUUCGUUGUGUCGGCGGUGAAAUCCCCGGGCUCAACCUGGGAAUGGCCGUUGAAACUGGCGAACUGGAGUGUGGCAGAGGGGGGUGGAAUUCCGCGUGUAGCAGUGAAAUGCGUAGAGAUGCGGAGGAACACCGAUGGCGAAGGCAGCCCCCUGGGCUGACACUGACGCUCAGGCACGAAAGCGUGGGGAGCAAACAGG
rnacentral:rRNA from 1 species